GACGAACGCUGGCGGCGUGCUUAACACAUGCAAGUCGAACGGAAAGGCCCUGCUUUUGUGGGGUGCUCGAGUGGCGAACGGGUGAGUAACACGUGAGUAACCUGCCCUUGACUUUGGGAUAACUUCAGGAAACUGGGGCUAAUACCGGAUAGGAGCUCCUGCUGCAUGGUGGGGGUUGGAAAGUUUCGGCGGUUGGGGAUGGACUCGCGGCUUAUCAGCUUGUUGGUGGGGUAGUGGCUUACCAAGGCUUUGACGGGUAGCCGGCCUGCGAGGGUGACCGGCCACAUUGGGACUGAGAUGCGGCCCAGACUCCUACGGGAGGCAGCAGUGGGGAAUAUUGCACAAUGGGCGGAAGCCUGAUGCAGCAACGCCGCGUGCGGGAUGACGGCCUUCGGGUUGUAAACCGCUUUCGCCUGUGACGAAGCGUGAGUGACGGUAAUGGGUAAAGAAGCACCGGCUAACUACGUG
rnacentral:rRNA from 1 species